GGCAGAGAGAGCCCGGCCACCGCGGCGUGCCAGCAGCACGCAGCUGCCAGCGGGCACGCACGCGAGGAAAGUCCCCCCACCGCCGGGCAGGUGACCGGGGAAACCCCGGGACGGGAGACCGUCGGCGCUGGAACAGCAACGAGACCGCUCCCCCGCGAGUGGAUGACGUGGCGCGAACCGACCCGCGAGGGAAGGGAGCUAACCCACAGAACGCAGACCGGGGGAGAACGGAUGGAACGGCGAACCCUCACCGGUGCAAGUCCACGCCACGCGGCGCGAGCCGCACGGUAGCCCGGCAGGGACGUGGACGCUCAGCCGAAUGCCGGGACGAACAGAAGGGGGCUUACUCCUCUCAGCC
rfam:Halobacterium trapanicum RNase P RNA (rnpB) gene, complete sequence.